rnacentral:tRNA from 1 species
GGGGCUGUAGCUCAAUGGUAGAGUGCUUGCCUCACACCUGUAAGACACUGGGUUCAAUCCUCAGCACUA